rnacentral:rRNA from 1 species
UACAGAGGUCUCAAGCGUUGUUCGGAUUCAUUGGGCGUAAAGGGCGCGUAGGCGGCCGUGUGUGUGAGGCGUGAAAGCCCGGGGCUCAACCCCGGAAUUGCACCUCAAACUACAUGGCUAGAGCAUUGGAGAGGGUAGCGGAAUUCACGGUGUAGCAGUGAAAUGCGUAGAUAUCGUGAGGAACACCAGAGGCGAAGGCGGCUACCUGGACAAUUGCUGACGCUCAGGCACGAAAGCGUGGGGAGCAAAAGGG